UACGUAGGGGGCAAGCGUUGUCCGGAUUUAUUGGGCGUAAAGAGCGUGUAGGCGGCCUGAAAGGUCAGCUGUGAAAACUCGAGGCUCAACCUCGAGACGUCGGUUGAAACCAUCUGGCUAGAGUCCGGAAGAGGAGUGUGGAAUUCCCGGUGUAGCGGUGAAAUGCGCAGAUAUCGGGAGGAACACCGGUGGCGAAGGCGGUUCUCUGGGCCUUACCUGACGCUGAGGAGCGAAAGCGUGGGGAGCGAACAGG
rnacentral:rRNA from 1 species